UCAGGAUGAACGCUGGCGGCGUGCUUAACACAUGCAAGUCGAACGGUGAAGCCAAGCUUGCUUGGUGGAUCAGUGGCGAACGGGUGAGUAACACGUGAGCAAUCUGCCCCUCACUCUGGGAUAAGCGCUGGAAACGGCGUCUAAUACUGGAUACGAACUACCACCGCAUGGUGAGUGGUUGGAAAGAAUUUCGGUGGGGGAUGAGCUCGCGGCCUAUCAGCUUGUUGGUGAGGUAAUGGCUCACCAAGGCGUCGACGGGUAGCCGGCCUGAGAGGGUGACCGGCCACACUGGGACUGAGACACGGCCCAGACUCCUACGGGAGGCAGCAGUGGGGAAUAUUGCACAAUGGGCGCAAGCCUGAUGCAGCAACGCCGCGUGAGGGACGACGGCCUUCGGGUUGUAAACCUCUUUUAGCGAGGAAGAAGCGAAAGUGACGGUACUCGCAGAAAAAGCACCGGCUAACUACGUGCCAGCAGCCGCGGUAAUACGUAGGGUGCAAGCGUUAUCCGGAAUUAUUGGGCGUAAAGAGCUCGUAGGCGGUUUGUCGCGUCUGCUGUGAAAUCUGGGGGCUCAACUCCCAGCCUGCAGUGGGUACGGGCAGACUAGAGUGCGGUAGGGGAGAUUGGAAUUCCUGGUGUAGCGGUGGAAUGCGCAGAUAUCAGGAGGAACACCGAUGGCGAAGGCAGAUCUCUGGGCCGUAACUGACGCUGAGGAGCGAAAGGGUGGGGAGCAAACAGGCUUAGAUACCCUGGUAGUCCACCCCGUAAACGUUGGGAACUAGUUGUGGGGUCCAUUCCACGGAUUCCGUGACGCAGCUAACGCAU
rnacentral:rRNA from 1 species